rnacentral:rRNA from 1 species
CGUAUAACCGGCGAUUUCCGAAUGGGGAAACCCAGUGUGUUUCGACACACUAUCAUUAACUGAAUCCAUAGGUUAAUGAGGCGAACCGGGGGAACUGAAACAUCUAAGUACCCCGAGGAAAAGAAAUCAACCGAGAUUCCCCCAGUAGCGGCGAGCGAACGGGGAGCAGCCCAGAGCCUGAAUCAGUGUGUGUGUUAGUGGAAGCGUCUGGAAAGGCGCGCGAUACAGGGUGACAGCCCCGUACACAAAAAUGCACAUGCUGUGAGCUCGAUGAGUAGGGCGGGACACGUGGUAUCCUGUCUGAAUAUGGGGGGACCAUCCUCCAAGGCUAAAUACUCCUGACUGACCGAUAGUGAACCAGUACCGUGAGGGAAAGGCGAAAAGAACCCCGGCGAGGGGAGUGAAAAAGAACCUGAAACCGUGUACGUACAAGCAGUGGGAGCCUCUUUAUGGGGUGACUGCGUACCUUUUGUAUAAUGGGUCAGCGACUUAUAUUCUGUAGCAAGGUUAACCGAAUAGGGGAGCCGAAGGGAAACCGAGUCUUAACUGGGCGUUAAGUUGCAGGGUAUAGACCCGAAACCCGGUGAUCUAGCCAUGGGCAGGUUGAAGGUUGGGUAACACUAACUGGAGGACCGAACCGACUAAUGUUGAAAAAUUAGCGGAUGACUUGUGGCUGGGGGUGAAAGGCCAAUCAAACCGGGAGAUAGCUGGUUCUCCCCGAAAGCUAUUUAGGUAGCGCCUCGUGAAUUCAUCUCCGGGGGUAGAGCACUGUUUCGGCAAGGGGGUCAUCCCGACUUACCAACCCGAUGCAAACUGCGAAUACCGGAGAAUGUUAUCACGGGAGACACACGGCGGGUGCUAACGUCCGUCGUGAAGAGGGAAACAACCCAGACCGCCAGCUAAGGUCCCAAAGUCAUGGUUAAGUGGGAAACGAUGUGGGAAGGCCCAGACAGCCAGGAUGUUGGCUUAGAAGCAGCCAUCAUUUAAAGAAAGCGUAAUAGCUCACUGGUCGAGUCGGCCUGCGCGGAAGAUGUAACGGGGCUAAACCAUGCACCGAAGCUGCGGCAGCGACGCUUAUGCGUUGUUGGGUAGGGGAGCGUUCUGUAAGCCUGUGAAGGUGUGCUGUGAGGCAUGCUGGAGGUAUCAGAAGUGCGAAUGCUGACAUAAGUAACGAUAAAGCGGGUGAAAAGCCCGCUCGCCGGAAGACCAAGGGUUCCUGUCCAACGUUAAUCGGGGCAGGGUGAGUCGACCCCUAAGGCGAGGCCGAAAGGCGUAGUCGAUGGGAAACAGGUUAAUAUUCCUGUACUUGGUGUUACUGCGAAGGGGGGACGGAGAAGGCUAUGUUGGCCGGGCGACGGUUGUCCCGGUUUAAGCGUGUAGGCUGGUUUUCCAGGCAAAUCCGGAAAAUCAAGGCUGAGGCGUGAUGACGAGGCACUACGGUGCUGAAGCAACAAAUGCCCUGCUUCCAGGAAAAGCCUCUAAGCAUCAGGUAACAUCAAAUCGUACCCCAAACCGACACAGGUGGUCAGGUAGAGAAUACCAAGGCGCUUGAGAGAACUCGGGUGAAGGAACUAGGCAAAAUGGUGCCGUAACUUCGGGAGAAGGCACGCUGAUAUGUAGGUGAAGCGACUUGCUCGUGGAGCUGAAAUCAGUCGAAGAUACCAGCUGGCUGCAACUGUUUAUUAAAAACACAGCACUGUGCAAACACGAAAGUGGACGUAUACGGUGUGACGCCUGCCCGGUGCCGGAAGGUUAAUUGAUGGGGUUAGCGCAAGCGAAGCUCUUGAUCGAAGCCCCGGUAAACGGCGGCCGUAACUAUAACGGUCCUAAGGUAGCGAAAUUCCUUGUCGGGUAAGUUCCGACCUGCACGAAUGGCGUAAUGAUGGCCAGGCUGUCUCCACCCGAGACUCAGUGAAAUUGAACUCGCUGUGAAGAUGCAGUGUACCCGCGGCAAGACGGAAAGACCCCGUGAACCUUUACUAUAGCUUGACACUGAACAUUGAGCCUUGAUGUGUAGGAUAGGUGGGAGGCUUUGAAGUGUGGACGCCAGUCUGCAUGGAGCCGACCUUGAAAUACCACCCUUUAAUGUUUGAUGUUCUAACGUUGACCCGUAAUCCGGGUUGCGGACAGUGUCUGGUGGGUAGUUUGACUGGGGCGGUCUCCUCCUAAAGAGUAACGGAGGAGCACGAAGGUUGGCUAAUCCUGGUCGGACAUCAGGAGGUUAGUGCAAUGGCAUAAGCCAGCUUGACUGCGAGCGUGACGGCGCGAGCAGGUGCGAAAGCAGGUCAUAGUGAUCCGGUGGUUCUGAAUGGAAGGGCCAUCGCUCAACGGAUAAAAGGUACUCCGGGGAUAACAGGCUGAUACCGCCCAAGAGUUCAUAUCGACGGCGGUGUUUGGCACCUCGAUGUCGGCUCAUCACAUCCUGGGGCUGAAGUAGGUCCCAAGGGUAUGGCUGUUCGCCAUUUAAAGUGGUACGCGAGCUGGGUUUAGAACGUCGUGAGACAGUUCGGUCCCUAUCUGCCGUGGGCGCUGGAGAACUGAGGGGGGCUGCUCCUAGUACGAGAGGACCGGAGUGGACGCAUCACUGGUGUUCGGGUUGUCAUGCCAAUGGCACUGCCCGGUAGCUAAAUGCGGAAGAGAUAAGUGCUGAAAGCAUCUAAGCACGAAACUUGCCCCGAGAUGAGUUCUCCCUGACCCUUUAAGGGUCCUGAAGGAACGUUGAAGACGACGACGUUGAUAGGCCGGGUGUGUAAGCGCAGCGAUGCGUUGAGCUAACCGGUACUAAUGAACCGUGAGGCUUAACCUUACAACGCCGAAGCUGUU